ACAGCAGUCGCCACGGGAAUACGGAGGGUGCAAGCGUUAAUCGGAAUUACUGGGCGUAAAGCGCACGCAGGCGGUCUGUCAAGUCAGAUGUGAAAUCCCCGGGCUUAACCUGGGAACUGCAUUUGAAACUGGCAGGCUAGAGUCUUGUAGAGGGGGGUAGAAUUCCAGGUGUAGCGGUGAAAUGCGUAGAGAUCUGGAGGAAUACCGGUGGCGAAGGCGGCCCCCUGGACAAAGACUGACGCUCAGGUGCGAAAGCGUGGGGAGCAAACAGGAUUAGAUACCCCGGUAGUCCCUGUCUCUUAUAC
rnacentral:rRNA from 1 species